UACGUAGGGAGCUAGCGUUGUCCGGAAUCAUUGGGCGUAAAGAGCGUGUAGGCGGCCCGGUAAGUCCGCUGUGAAAGUCGGGGGCUCAACCCUCGAAUGCCGGUGGAUACUGUCGGGCUAGAGUGCGGAAGAGGCGAGUGGAAUUCCUGGUGUAGCGGUGAAAUGCGCAGAUAUCAGGAGGAACACCAAUUGCGAAGGCAGCUCGCUGGGACGUAACUGACGCUGAGACGCGAAAGCGUGGGGAGCAAACAGG
rnacentral:rRNA from 1 species